rnacentral:misc_RNA from 1 species
AGUUCGAUUCUGGCUCAGAUUGAACGCUGAGGAUGCUUUACAUGCAAGUCGAACAGCAGCACGGACUUCGGUCUGGUGGCGAGUGGCGAACGGUGAGUAAUGUAUCGGAACGUGCCUAGUAGCGGGGGAUAACUACGCGAAAGCGUAGCUAAUACCGCAUACGCCCUUCGGGGGAAAGCGAGACUUCUUCGGGCCUCCGCACUAUUUGAAGCGGCCGAUAUCAGGAUUAGCUAGUUGGUGGUAACGCUCACCAAGGCGAGCGAUCCGCGGCUGGUUUGAGAGGACGACCAGCCACACUGGGACUGGGGCGGCCAGACUCCUGCAGGAGGCAGCAGUGAGGAAUUUUGGACAAUGGAAACCUGAUCCAGCCAUCCCGCGUGGCUGAUGAAGGCCUUCCGGGUUGUAACGCUUUUGGCGGGAAAGAAACGGCACGGGAUAAUACCCCGUGCAACUGACGUACCUGCCAAGGGUGUACCUACCAGUCAUCACACGCGCCCGGGAUGAAGCUGGAUCGGGGUUUCCCCGUACCUCCGCCGGUCAGUGCAGAUACGGUGUGGCUGGUCGUCUCUCAAACCAGCUACAGAUCGUCGCCUUGGUGAGCCGUUGCCGCCAACUGUAAUCCGAUAUCGGCCUCUAAUAGUGCGGGCCCGAAGAUCCCCGCUUUCCGAGGGCGUAUGCGGCUGUGCGCUUUCGCGUAGUUUGUACAUUGCUCACCCGUUCGCCAGUCCAUGCGCCGUUCGACUGCAUGUAAAGCAUCCGCCGGCGAAAUCUGGUCAGAAUCGAACUCUCUGUUACCUGAUGGCGGGAGGCGCAAU